UACGUAGGCAGCAAGCGUUGUUCGGAAUUACUGGGCGUAAAGCGUGUGUAGGCGGUGCUCUAAGUCUGGUGUGAAAUCUCCCGGCUCAACUGGGAGGGUGCGCCGGAUACUGGAGUGCUUGAGGGUGGGAGAGGUAAGCGGAAUUCCUGGUGUAGCGGUGAAAUGCGUAGAUAUCAGGAGGAACACCGGUGGUGUAGACAGCUUACUGGACCGCUUCUGACGCUGAGGCACGAAAGCGUGGGUAGCAAACAGG
rnacentral:rRNA from 1 species